AAAGCUCCCAGAUUCUCGCCUCGCAAUCUUUGGCGUCUUAUCUCUAACGGUAAGAAAGUCUCCUACACACCCUACCUCUACUUAUGUAAUGCCUGAUAUUGCUAUUUCUUUUUUUAGAUUCAUUUCUUCAAAAGGGAUUUCGUAUGCGAAACUCUCUUUGGUAAUAGCAGUAAAGCGGGGGUGAAUAAGCAAUAAGCUAGCUAAACCAUGAGGCAAGGGCUUCAGUCACAAAAGAAGAGAAGAGAUAUAAAAUAACUGGCGGUAUGUGCCUUAUUUCAGGGCGUUUAGGAAGACCAUGUAAGAGAGU
rnacentral:lncRNA from 1 species